UACGUAGGGUGCGAGCGUUGUUCGGAAUUACUGGGCGUAAAGCGCGCGCAGGCGGCUUUUUAAGUCCGACGGUGAAAUGCCGGGGCUCAACCCCGUGCCCGCCGCGGAUACUGGGGAGCUGGAGACGAGUAGAGGCAAGCGGAAUUCCUGGUGUAGCGGUGAAAUGCGCAGAUAUCAGGAGGAACACCGGUGGCGAAGGCGGUUCUCUGGGCGAUUACCUGACGCUGAGGAGCGAAAGUGUGGGGAGCGAACAGG
rnacentral:rRNA from 1 species